CCUCUUGAGAGAGUGUUUGUCAGCCUAGAAAAAGAAAGAAAAUGAAGUUUAAGCUUGGGAAAAUUCUGCUCAAAAAGGUUAGUGCUACUAUUCUUUAAUUUCUCUUUAGAUUUCAUGUUAGAAGUACGAAUUAACUUAGAAUUUGAAAGAAUUGAAAGAAAAUAUCCAUGUAUGAGCCACUUCCAUUUUUAGCAGCUAUGAAUUAGGAAAGUUUUUGAUGAGUUUUGAUAUAAUUAAAGAUGUUUAUGGGUGGCUUUGAUGGUGAUUAUGAG
rnacentral:misc_RNA from 1 species